rnacentral:rRNA from 1 species
GACGAACGCUGGCGGCGUGCCUAACACAUGCAAGUCGAACGCAGUGGGGACGGGUGAGUAACACGUGGGUAACCUCCCAUCAGAGGGGAUAACACUUGGAAACAGGUGCUAAACCGAUAUUGAUGGAUGGACCCGGGGUGGAUUAGCUAGUUGGUGGGGUAACGGCUCACCAGGGCCACGAUGCAUAGCAGAGCUGGGAGGGGGAUCGGCCAAACUGGGACUGAGACACGGCCCAGACGCCUACGGGAGGCAGCAGUGGGGAAUAUUGCACAAUGGGCGAAAGCCUGAUGCAGCCAUGCCGCGUGUAUGAAGAAGGCCUUAGGGUUGUAAAGUACUUUCAGCGGGGAGGCGUUACCCGCAGAAGAAGCACCGGCUAACUCCGUGCCAGCAGCCGCGGUAAUUC